UACAGAGGUCUCAAGCGUUGUUCGGAUUCAUUGGGCGUAAAGGGUGCGUAGGCGGCGCGGUAAGUCGGGUGUGAAAUCUUGGAGCUUAACUCCGAAACUGCAUUCGAUACUGCCGUGCUUGAGGACUGGAGAGGAGACUGGAAUUUACGGUGUAGCGGUGAAAUGCGCAGAUAUCGGGAGGAACACCGGUGGCGAAGGCGGUUCUCUGGGCCUGACCUGACGCUGAGGAGCGAAAGCGUGGGGAGCGAACGGG
rnacentral:rRNA from 1 species